AUUGAACGCUGGCGGCAUGCCUUACACAUGCAAGUCGAACGGCAGCACGGGAGCAAUCCUGGUGGCGAGUGGCGAACGGGUGAGUAAAGUAUCGGAACGUGCCCGAUCGUGGGGGAUAACGCAGCGAAAGCUGCGCUAAUACCGCAUACGAUCUGAGGAUGAAAGCGGGGGACCGUAAGGCCUCGCGCGAUCGGAGCGGCCGAUGUCAGAUUAGGUAGUUGGUGGGGUAAAGGCUCACCAAGCCAACGAUCUGUAGCUGGUCUGAGAGGACGACCAGCCACACUGGGACUGAGACACGGCCCAGACUCCUACGGGAGGCAGCAGUGGGGAAUUUUGGACAAUGGGCGAAAGCCUGAUCCAGCAAUGCCGCGUGCAGGAAGAAGGCCUUCGGGUUGUAAACUGCUUUUGUACGGAGCGAAAAGGCUCUCUCUAAUACAGGGGGCUCAUGACGGUACCGUAAGAAUAAGCACCGGCUAACUACGUGCCAGCAGCCGCCGUAA
rnacentral:rRNA from 1 species